UGGGCAGACUACACAUGCAGUCGAGCGAGCUCUUCGGAGCUAGCGGCGGACGGGUUAGUAACGCGUGGGAACGUGCCCUUCACUGCGGAAUAGCCACUGGAAACGGUGAGUAAUACCGCAUACGCCCUUCGGGGGAAAGAUUUAUCGGUGAAGGAUCGGCCCGCGUUAGAUUAGAUAGUUGGUGGGGUAACGGCCUACCAAGUCUACGAUCUAUAGCUGGUUUUAGAGGAUGAUCAGCAACACUGGGACUGAGACACGGCCCAGACUCCUACGGGAGGCAGCAGUGGGGAAUCUUGGACAAUGGGCGCAAGCCUGAUCCAGCCAUGCCGCGUGAGUGAUGAAGGCCUUAGGGUCGUAAAGCUCUUUCGCCAGAGAUGAUAAUGACAGUAUCUGGUAAAGAAACCCCGGCUAACUCCGUGCCAGCAGCCGCGGUAAUACGGAGGGGGUUAGCGUUGUUCGGAAUUACUGGGCGUAAAGCGCACGUAGGCGGAUCAGAAAGUUGGGGGUGAAAUCCCGGGGCUCAACCCCGGAACUGCCUCCAAAACUCCUGGUCUUGAGUUCGAGAGAGGUGAGUGGAAUUCCGAGUGUAGAGGUGAAAUUCGUAGAUAUUCGGAGGAACACCAGUGGCGAAGGCGGCUCACUGGCUCGAUACUGACGCUGAGGUGCGAAAGUGUGGGGAGCAAACAGGAUUAGAUACCCUGGUAGUCCAC
rnacentral:rRNA from 1 species